rnacentral:rRNA from 1 species
UGGCUCUAAGGACUGGGCCGGUCGGGCUGUAAUGUGAAGUGAGUAUGGUUUGAUCCAUGCAGUGUAACAUUAAUGAAGAAUAUAUAAAUAUAUUAUUCAUUGAUGAAACUCGGCUAGUGUUCGAACUAUCUUAUGGACCGUUAUAGCUGCAUAUCACAUUUAUUUUUUGUUUUAACAUAAAAUAAAUGUUUAUUGAUAUUUCGGCCGGCGUUAAACAGUUAACUUAGAACUGGCACGGACUCGGGGAAUCCGACUGUCUAAUUAAAACAGAGGAGACAGAUGGCCCCUAGCGGGCGUUGACUGUCUCUGAUUUCUGCCCAGUGCUCUGAAUGUAAAAGUGAAGAAAUUCAACCAAGCGCGGGUAAACGGCGGGAGUAACUAUGACUCUCUUAAGGUAGCCAAAUGCCUCGUCAUCUAAU